UAGAGGCAAUUUUAAUGGGCUGUAAUCGUUACUGGUCACACUGUGGUGUGAGCAGUAAUGCUCAAGGAGAACCGCGCCACGGACGGCGCGUUUCGACAGUUUCGUCAAGCAUAGUAAACCUAUAAAGCAUAAUUCCUACAGUAUCUUGGCAGUGCAGCGU
rfam:[Eubacterium rectale] ATCC 33656 chromosome, complete genome.